UUUUUAGACCUUCCUGGAGGAGUUUGCCACCUAACCGAUAACCCACGAAACACCUUUCCAGCUUUUGAAAAACCAGCAUGUAUACCAUCGUCGUCAGUCUACCUCUUGAGAGAAGUAUACCAAAAGAGCCUAACUCAUUACGUCAGAUCGAGGUGCAGCUAAUAAACUGGGGGUUGGUGAACUACAACAUUCUACCAAACCACUAUAAAAACCGAUUAUGAACUGUACUAUGAAACUAGUACUCAAAACAGGAUUCAGCAGUAAUACCCAAAAGAAAAUGGCUAUGAACCCUCACAGCUCUAAAAUGCGC
rnacentral:rRNA from 1 species